GAUGAACGCUGGCGGCGUGCCUAAUACAUGCAAGUCGAGCGAACAGACGAGUACCUUGCUCCACGGACGUUAGCGGCGGAAGGGUGAGGAACACGUGGAUAACCCAACUAUAGGACUGGGAUAAGUUACGGAAACCGGUGCUAGUACUGGACAAUUGAUUCAACCGCAUGGUUCGAUAGUGAAAGCGGGUUUUGCUGGAACUGAGAGCUAGAUCCGCGCCGUUUUAGCUAGGUGGUAACGUAACGGCUUACCAAAGCAACGAUGGGUGGCCGACCUGAGAGGGUGAUAGGCCACUCAGGAGCUGAGCCACGGUCCUGACUCCUACGGGAGGCCGCAGUAGCGACUCUUGCGCGCUGGGCGAAAGCUUGCCGGAGCAGCGCCACGUGGGUGAUGAAGGUCUUCGGACCGUAUGACUGUGUUAUUAGUGAAGACCGCAUGUAUAAGUAACUAUGCACGUCUUGACGGUACCUAAAGAGAAAGCCACGGCUAACUACGUG
rnacentral:rRNA from 1 species